rnacentral:rRNA from 1 species
GGAUUAGAUACCCUGGUAGUCCACGCCGUAAACGAUGUGCACUAGGUGGAUGUUCACGUUGGAAUGUUUGCCGGAGAUAAUUUGUUAAGUGCACCGCCUGGGGAGUAUGGUCGCAAGGCUGAAACUCAAAGGAAUUGACGGGGGCUCACACAAGCGGUGGAGGAUGUGGUUUAAUUCGAAGCAACGCGAAGAACCUUACCAGGCCUUGACAUAGACGUAGUACGACACUCGAAAGGUGAAGGAUCUUGGGUUUACCAAGAAGCGUUUACAGGUGCUGCAUGGCUGUCGUCAGCUCGUGUUG